CUCUCUCUCUCUCUCUCUAACACACCCACACACACGCACGCACACCCACACACCCACACACACACACACUUCAGACACUGUCACCAGAGCUCAUAAAUGUAAAAUGUGCACUAUCUACAGAACCGUCACCCCGGGAAAACACACGUGUAGGACAGUGUGUACAGGCCUACAAGACAUCGCCCCGGAAAAUGUGUCUUCUAGUUUAAACACAACUCUCGAUUCUUUUAAGCAGCGCUUGAAACAUUUGACAUGCUAAAGGGUUAGGUUUAGAAGGCAUGUAAUACGCGCGUUUCUUAGAAAACACCGUCUUUAAAACGUUUACCUCCUAAAGGGACCUAUUUAGAAGACACGACUCACAAAAGUUCUAGAACCGAGAUGAACCUCUAACAAAGUGACGGAAAGUCCAAAGUGUGGAGAAAGAAAGGAUCUGCUCAUGAUCCAGAACAUAACAUGGUGGAGGUAGCGUCAUGGCUUGGACUCGCACGGCUGCUUCUGGAACGUUCUCACUCGUCUUUAUUGAUGAUGAACUCACGAUGGAAGCAGCAGAACGAAUUCAGAAGUUUACAGGAACGUUUUAUCUGCAGAUUUACAGAGAGACGCGUCCGAAUGAAUCAGGUGGAACUUCGUCAUGCAGCGAGACAACGAUCCAAAACACACUUCCACCUCGACACAGGACUUCAUCGGGGGGAAGUGGAAGGUUUUAGACUGGACAAGUCAAUCACCAGACCUUCACCCAACUGAUCAGCGUCUCACCUCCUGAAGAGGAGACCGCACUUUUCUGAAAAAUCACAACAUACAGUAUGUUUAGAACAUCUUUAAUCUUUUAUAUUUGUGUAUGUUUUUAAGGUUGCAAAUCCCGAUGGGAAGCAGCUGAUUUGACGUUUAAUUUCAGUCAUGAAUCUUUCGUUUCGUAGUCUCCCUUCUUUUAUUUCUUUUGUCUUAUAAAAGUUUCAUCAGACUCCGUUUCUCAGCGUAUUUUAAUGCAGCGUUACUGUUUUGAUGGCAGUAUAUACCGUAUAUACCAUGCUACAUAGCGUUCAUCAUAGACGAGUAUCGAGAGAUAUUAUUAUUAUUAUUAUUAUUAUCAUCAUCAUCAUCAUAUCACUCAGUGAUUGGUGGUAAUAUAGUGAGAGAGCUAUACAUACAAAAGCAAAAAAAUACAUGAAAAAACAGACUACUUUAAAGUUUUAAAUAAAUUUAUUUGUAAAAAAACAAAAAAAAACAAAAAACAAAAAGCAGUUCCUGAGGAUCCAGUGAACUUGAAUGAAAUGAACAUAACGGAUAACGAACACGGCACAGCGGAGACACGCCGACGAGGACGAUCACGUGUGCAUCUAGAAGGUGACGGCACGAUGCGCGACAUGUUUCACGCUGCUGGACCCGAACCACGCCCGAGCGCCUUCGUUCAGGGAACAAAAGAAAGCGUCCGGCCAAGCAUGAGGCGUAUGACGCCUUGAUCCCCGAACAAUGGCAGAUUGUGUGAAGCGGUUUUACUCGCAGACCCGACGUGGGGCGUCAGACUCAUGGUCUGCUUGGCAUCGAGCGUCGUAGUAAACUCUCCGUGUGUGUGUGAUCAUGUGAUUAAAAAAAAAAAAAAAUGCACACGACACUUUCUUCACUUAAAUUAAAGGAAAAGUGUGGCGAAAAACGUCCACAACACUCCCUCUUACCUCAAAAGUAAUCACUCUUUUCUUUUUUUCCCCCCACUGGAGUUAUCAUCAAUAUAUCUAAAAGCCCUAUUCGGCCGGGAUUAGUUUUACAUCCAGACACGUGUAGCGUAAAUAUCAUUUGAGUGUCUCUGGGAUUUCAGUCCCGCCCGAAUCAUGUGACGAUCAAACUGCGUAUCCACGCCCCCUACAACAAGCGCUCAGAACAAUCAGUCCGUAUUAAAAUUAAGUGCGUGUAUGUGGUACGCGUGGAAAUUUUUUUUAUUUAUCAUAAGUACCCCAGAUGUCAUGUAAAACGAAUCCCGUCCGAAUAAUAAUCUCCGAGUCACCCGGAAUCUUUUCCGUAAAAUAUGCGCGUUUUUUCAAACGGAAUUAAUAAGCUACGUCGUAUUUUUGAAACAAAUGGACGCGUCUACGAUUGCACUUUCAGGUAAAUAUUUACCAAAGAGAAAGAUUUUAGGUGACGUGG